rnacentral:rRNA from 1 species
GCAGUCGAGCGGGCGUAGCAAUACGUCAGCGGCAGACGGGUGAGUAACGCGUGGGAACGUACCUUUUGGUUCGGAACAACACAGGGAAACUUGUGCUAAUACCGGAUAAGCCCUUACGGGGAAAGAUUUAUCGCCGAAAGAUCGGCCCGCGUCUGAUUAGCUAGUUGGUGAGGUAAUGGCUCACCAAGGCGACGAUCAGUAGCUGGUCUGAGAGGAUGAUCAGCCACAUUGGGACUGAGACACGGCCCAAACUCCUACGGGAGGCAGCAGUGGGGAAUAUUGGACAAUGGGGGCAACCCUGAUCCAGCCAUGCCGCGUGAGUGAUGAAGGCCCUAGGGUUGUAAAGCUCUUUUGUGCGGGAAGAUAAUGACGGUACCGCAAGAAUAAGCCCCGGCUAACUUCGUGCCAGCAGCCGCGGUAAUACGAAGGGGGCUAGCGUUGCUCGGAAUCACUGGGCGUAAAGGGUGCGUAGGCGGGUCUUUAAGUCAGGGGUGAAAUCCUGGAGCUCAACUCCAGAACUGCCUUUGAUACUGAGGAUCUUGAGUUCGGGAGAGGUGAGUGGAACUGCGAGUGUAGAGGUGAAAUUCGUAGAUAUUCGCAAGAACACCAGUGGCGAAGGCGGCUCACUGGC